GACGAACGCUGGCGGCGUGCUUAAUACAUGCAAGUCGAGCGAGGCCUUGGAAUUGGAGUCCUUCGGGGAUGAAGAGUCCUUGGCCUAGCGGCGGACGGGUGAGUAACGCGUGGGCAACCUACCCCAAAGUCCGGGAUAACAGUGGGAAACCGCUGCUAAUACCGGAUGGCUUUACCUGAGGGCAUCCUCGGGUAAAGAAAGGUUACGCUUUGGGAUGGGCCCGCGUCCCAUUAGCUAGUUGGUGAGGUAACGGCUCACCAAGGCGACGAUGGGUAGCCGGCCUGAGAGGGUGAACGGCCACACUGGGACUGAGACACGGCCCAGACUCCUACGGGAGGCAGCAGUAGGGAAUAUUGCGCAAUGGGCGGAAGCCUGACGCAGCGACGCCGCGUGAGCGAAGAAGGCCUUCGGGUCGUAAAGCUCUGUCCUUGGGGAAGAAGGCGAAAGCUUGACGGUACCCAAGAAGAAAGCCCCGGCUAACUACGUG
rnacentral:rRNA from 1 species